AAUUAUUUUCACUUGAAAAUUUUGCAAUAUUUUGUUGAAUUUCAAAACUUUGUUUUAAACGCUAACUAAGCAAAGUUUAAGCUAAUUACUAAUUGCUGGCAGUGAUACUAUGCAAUUAAGUAUAUUUCUUAAUAAGCUGGCUGCACAGUGGGGCAAGAGAGCGCAAGAGAAAUGCCACAUUUUCAGCACUCAAAUCAAAUUUCACUUAUGAGCUACAAAAUUCGUUAGAUUAUUGUUGUGGAUAUUGUGUGAG